rnacentral:tRNA from 1 species
GGUGAGAUGGCCGAGCGGUCUAAGGCGCCACGUUAAGGUCUUCCUUAAUCAACAUCUACGAGUUAGAUUCCGUGGUCCGAAAGGGCGUGGGUUCGAAUCCCACUCUCAUCA